AUGAACGCUAGCGACAGGCCUAACACAUGCAAGUCGAGGGGCAGCACAAGGAGCAAUCUGAGGUGGCGACCGGCGCACGGGUGAGUAACACGUAUGCAACCUGCCUGUAAGCGGGGAAUAACCCGUUGAAAGACGGACUAAUACCGCAUAAUACUAAAUUACUGCAUGGUAAUUUAUUUAAACAUUUAUGGCUUACAGAUGGGCAUGCGCAUGAUUAGCUAGUUGGAGAGGUAACGGCUCCCCAAGGCAACGAUCAUUAGGGGUUCUGAGAGGAAGGUCCCCCACACUGGUACUGAGACACGGACCAGACUCCUACGGGAGGCAGCAGUGAGGAAUAUUGGUCAAUGGACGAGAGUCUGAACCAGCCAAGUCGCGUGCAGGAAGAAUGUCCUUAAUGGAUUGUAAACUGCUUUUGCAGGGGAAUAAAGUGCAUCACGUGUGAUGUUUUGUAUGCACUCUGCGAAUAAGGAUCGGCUAACUCCGUGCCAGCCGCCGC
rnacentral:rRNA from 1 species